AAACUGGGUCUGAGAAGACCUUUCCCGCCAGCACAACUGCGUUUGCAAACAGACGCUCGCCUGAGAUCCCGCGAGAUCUCUCCGCUCUGUUCCUUAGGCACGAAAUGCGCAAGCACAAAACUUGGCGGUCUUUUCCUUUUCGUGAAUGAGGCUUCGUUUCACAGAUCCAGAACAAAGCAAAGCAACCAACAUAUUCUCAUGAAGCAAAGCUUGAAAAAGUCUGACUUGAGAUUUGAAGUGACUGGCUUUAUCAACACUUUGGCAAGUUUUGUAUUGGUCAAUCAGAAAAUAAGAUCUCCAGGCUUUGUAGAAUCUCUACAAAUGUGCAAGUUCUCUAACUACAAAUGUGCAAGUUCCUGAUCUUCAGCUGAGAAUAUCCAAGAUUGCUAAGAUUCAAAAAGACAGAAUUUUUGUUAAAAAUAUCUCAUAUUUUGUGUAAGGAUAUGGUAGGAAGGUGGCAACGGAUAAUUUUCUUCCCUCACUAAACAAGGAAAAGUAGCAGCAAUCUUGCAGAAACCACUUUUGGUGGCUGCCAACCUCCCUUGACUUGUGCCUGUAUCGCUCCAAUCACCAAGACAAGCCUCUUCAAAUGUCUCUGUUGAGUCUUCAUAUCACCUCCUCUUUGAUUAAAAUCUCACUCUUGUAAGUAUACAUGUAUUGCAUUUAGAGCUCAGCCAGUUAUUUCAAGAUAAACUCCCCAUGUCAAGAUCACUCUUGCAGUCAAAACUACAAAAAGCCUAGAUCUUUUUGCUUUGUUUUGUUUUACUUUUUGGGAAAAUAAGGGAACAUUCACAGGUUCUAGGGAUUAGGACAUGUGUAUGUUUUAGGGGUUAAUUUGUUCUGUUGACCACAGUAGGCAUUUAGCAAGUAUCCAAGUUUCUGCUAAAAAGUUUUGCAUACUACAAAAAUAAGUCCUAUUGACUUUCUAGCCACCUUUAAGAUAUUCAUCAAGGCACAAUUACUACUUCAAUCAAUCAAUCAAUAAUAACAACAAGUACAAUUAGCACGUAUAUAUGGCUAGGAACCAGGCUCUGUUCUAAGUACUUAACAUUUACUAACACACUGUAGAGGAAAUCUCCUUCCAAAACUAUCUUUGAAUGUGAGAAUGAGGUCAGUUUCCCUCUACUGGUGCAUAGUUGUUGUCAGACUUUUAAAUUAAACCCAUUGCCCCCUAGAUACAGGAGAUACAAAAAUUUACUUUUAAUUCUGGAUAUUUUCCAUCUACUUCUCAACCACGGUAGAUAACGCUCCAUCUACAAACUGAAAAGUACCAUGGAAUGGUGUUAUUUUCGUUUAUUCAUCAACAAUGACACUUCCAUUAGGCACCCAUAGCCUUGGCUAUGGAAAAUAGAGUCAUUUUCAAGAAUGUAAGGUAUAAAUACAAUUUUGCUAAUUUAAAUAAGACCUAAAGCAUAAAAAUGCAAUUAUUAAAUACAGAAUUUUUUUUUUUUGCAAAUCAGUUAAUGAGGAGAUUACUAAUGCUUUUUUAUGAUUGUUUACAUUUUAAUGCCAGUAAAACCAGCCACUUUCCUUCUUUCAAUUAAGUGUGCUAAACUCUCUAGCUUAAUGGGAAACGACUGAACGUUUGAAUGAGUGCUCCUAUUGAGGCUUAAAUAACAUUUUUGAAAAACAUGACAAACUUCUCAGCAUAGGUAACUGAUUCAUUAUGAAAUAUAUUAAAAUUUUGCAACCAA